rnacentral:rRNA from 1 species
UACGUAGGUGGCAAGCGUUGUCCGGAUUUACUGGGCGUAAAGAGCGCGCAGGCGGUCGUUCAAGUCGCGUGUGAAAGCCCCCGGCUCAACUGGGGAGGGUCACGCGAUACUGAUCGACUCGAAGGCAGGAGAGGGAAGUGGAAUUCCCGGUGUAGUGGUGAAAUGCGCAGAUAUCGGGAAGAACACCCGUGGCGAAGGCGGCUCUCUGGGACGGUACUGACGCUGAGACGCGAAAGCGUGGGGAGCAAACAGG